UACUUCAAGUGCGAUUCUUACCCCUUCCUUACCGAGUCUUUGCGUGAAUCCGUCUGCUAGCCUUCUUGCGACGUUAAGACCACGCUCGUUUCACUGUUGAAACGAGAUAGUUACUGUCACGAUUAUUAUACCUUUCUCUGUUUCGUGAAGCCAUUUAUUCAGUUUUUUGGCUCGUUUUUCUGUCCUGAACUGUCAGUUCAAACCUCAUUCUGAGUGCUUUUUGCUUGUCUAGCAUUGGCUUCAUAUCUGUAUUCCCUGUCUGUGUGUGUAUUGGUCUGGGUGGCCACUCACAUUUUCUCGUGUCAUCCCAGACAUCACACGUAUGUCAUUUCACUGUAUGUCAGCACAGUUUGAGUCCCACACAUUCUUUCAUUUGUGUCGUGCAUGACCCAGCAACUUGCGAAUAAACUACAGGGGCUGCUUACAACAGACCCCAGAAGGA